rnacentral:rRNA from 1 species
CCAUGCACGUACAAGUUCAAGCUAAAAAUUAGCAACACCGCGAAAGGCUCCUUAUAAAUUCAUAAUUUAAAUGAGCAAAAGAUAGGAUAACUCUGGUAAUUCUGGAGCUAAUACUAUAUAUUAGAGGCAGUCAAAAGGGGAAAAAAGACUGGCAAUGAUACCCAGAAAUGGGGUACAUCAUAUAAAUAUAUAGCCUAUCAUACUAGUUGGUAGCAUAGGGGGCUACCAAGGUAGUGACAGGUAACGGGGAAUUGGGGUUUGAUUCCGGAGAUGGAGCCUGAGAAAUAGCUGCAACUUCCAAGGAAGGCAGCAGGCGCGCAAAUUACCCAAUUUUAGCCAAGAGAGGUAGUGACAAGAUGUGGCAUGUAAAUGCAGCAUCCCGGGCGUAAAAACCCUGGGAAAUUAUUAGAGGGAAAGUCUGGUGCCAGCAGCCGCGGUAAUUCCAGCUCUAAUAGUGUAUGUUUUGGUUGCUGCAGUUAAAACGCUCGUAGCCGACAGAUCUGCGCAAGCAGAAGGACCAUGAGCAAAACAAAGCGCUCAAGGCAGGCAUAGCCUGAAUGAAAAGCAUGGGACCACAGUAGACAACACGCUGGUGGCGUUAGGACUGGUUGGGGAGGGGUGAAAUCCAUAGAUCCAACCAAGACUAGCAGAGGCGAAGGCGGUCGCCACAGAGUGGUUGGUUGGCAAAGAGCAAAAGUUGAGGGAGCAAAAACGAUUAGAUACCGUUGUAGUCUCAACCGUAAGCGAUGCCGGCGCUUUGUUUGUUGAGAUAGGCAAAGAGGAGAAAUCUCGAGCCAGGUUCUGGGGGGAGUAUGGUCACAAGACUGAAACUUGAAAGAAUUGACGGAAGGGCACCACCAGGAGUGGAGCGUGCGGUUUAAUUUGACUCAACACGGGGAAACUUACCAGUCCCGACACUUCGAGGACUGACAGGCUGAAGGUCUUUCACGAGAAGUGAGUAGUGGUGCAUGGCCGUUCUUUGUUGGUGGAGUUAUUUGUCUGGUUGAUUCCGAUAACGAGCGAGACGGGAGCCUUAUGUUAGGCUUAAGGGACUGGUGCUGCAAAGCACAGGAAGCCCCGCGAUAACAGGUCUGUGAUGCCCUUAGAUGGUCUGGGCGACACGCGCGCUACACUGCAUACAGCAGCAAGCCUAGUGCAGCCUUAGCAGGUUGUAUAAACAAGAGGUGUAUGCGUGGUGAGGAUCAUCCAGUGGAAGAGGAUGUGAAUGAGGAAUUCCUUGUAAGCAUGUGUCAGCAGCACGUGCUGAAUGCGUCCCUGCCCUUUGUACACACCGCCCGUCGCUACUACCGAUGGGUGGUCAAGCUAGAGUGCUGGAUAGCAAGGCAUAGCGAGCUUGGCUGCCUAGAGGAAGUACAAG